GCGUGCGUGGCAGAUCCCGGUCAUUGCAAAAGAUCUAAGCCCUUUUUAAAGAGGUUCAAAUCCUCUCGUACGCU
rnacentral:tRNA from 1 species